ACAAUAGCACCUUCAUUUUAAUGACGAUAAGACCAAUUAGCGCUUCGCCGUUUGCUUCCCUAAACCAACCACCUCGCGCUAAUCCCCCACCGAGAUCUCAUGUCCUAAUCAAAAACCUUACUCCCAAUUAUUUCAUCAUCCUUAACCAAUCAUCCGAGACCCGUGAGAAACCGCGACUCUUUUUGAACUCCUCCUACUUUCCCACCAAUUCAACCCUUUCAGAGAACAGAAUAGAACAGACGAACUUCAAACAUCAUAGACAACAGAUCAGAACCUUACCGAAAUCCUAGAAUCAAAUCACAUUAUAAGUAAUUCAGAACCUCCGAGACUUAUUAACAGUUUGUGACUGCGAUAGUGAUUAACAUCAGUUUGUACGACAAUUGUAAACCUACCAUUGAGAACUAGAAGGAGAUCGUUAAUAAAUGUGUAGUUAACCCAAGUGUUGUUAUAAAUAAUUAUUUCAAUCACGCGUAGUGAUGGUUGGCACGAGCCUUACCUAACAAACUCUCAGAAUUGUAGGGGAGUUGAACGAGAAAAUCUGAGGAGCUGAUCAGCGGAUUCCCGAGAUUUAUAUAUACCAACUACGGCUAGCAGUCUAUGUAUAUCUUCAGUCAACAGUACCACGCAUCUAUAAAGCGUACGUGUGAUGUGUUACUCCUCUAUCUGCUUCUGAACAGUUCAAUGACUGCAGAAUUCAGUCAGGGCAUGAGAUUUUCUGUACGAACACUGAAAUGGUUGUUAUGGACAUUCAAAUAUGCUACAUUUGGAAUACCUCUGUGGCAGCGCUACCUGACGGAUUUCAUCGAAAACUUCGCAUAAAUAUCACAGGGACUUGUAUGGACAAACGUAGACUGUUUUCCCACCUGUUUUUACUAGAUGGCGGAGAGGUGUAAAGACGGCCGGCAACACCACUAUAGUGGUGUUGCCAUGAUUCGAACAUAUCCGGGGAACAUUGAAGGAUGAUUAUAUGGACGUAUCCCACCAAACUAGGCAUGUAUCAACGAAAAAAAAUCCCGACCGCCAGCAGAUUAAAGGAUGGACACAUACAGUAUAAAUCAUACUAAAUGAUCUCUAUCUGGACAUUAUAAACCAGCACCAAUGGCUGACCAUUUGUUUAUUUUGUGGAAAUACACUACAUUGAAAUCUGAAGCUGAUGUUAGUUGCCGAUAGCAAGCCGUCAAUUCACUGAAAGUUCUUAUACAGAUUAUUUUUCAUGAUCAAAUUAUUUGAAUCAGUAGAUAAGUAUUAGAAAUGUUAAAACAUCAUUGAUUCGAGUGCUUUUAUCCAUGAUAAUCACUGCAUAUAUGAAAUUUUUGUGAAUCCACAGCUAGCUUUAGCAUCAUCAUUAAAAUAGCGCGUUGCUCCAUUGUUAUUUCAGUGAAUGCUUCAAAUUUCAUUGGAGAUUUGAACGUUAAUUCCCAACGAACAAGUAAAUUAAAUUAAUUAAUACAUGAAAUCGAAUGACUUGUGAACCAGGUAGAAUCUGUUCAUAAAACUCGGCAACAAUGCAAUUGGUUUUAUCAAUGUCUGGUGAGUGGUGGUCAGGUGAGAAUACCACAAAGAGGCAAACCGCAGUAUGUAAUUAACUUGGUUAGCUGGCUAGACCCCAAGAUGCUAGUCAAGAUGCCCCAAUGCUUUGCAUUGAAAUGAAUGCUACUGAAUGCUAUUUCCUAAAAUGUGAUCAUUUUUUUACAGGUAAAAAAAUGAUGAUCCAUAUACCUAUGAGUCCACGUACCUUUAAUAUUGAUAUAAUAUGAUUUAUUGAAAAUCACGAAUUA
rnacentral:lncRNA from 1 species